rnacentral:rRNA from 1 species
AUUGAACGCUGGCGGCAGGCCUAACACAUGCAAGUCGAACGAGUGGCGGACGGGUGAGUAAUGUAUGGGCAUCUGCCUGAUGGAGGGGGAUAACUACUGGAAACGGUAGCUAAUACCGCAUACCAUCGGAUGUGCCCAGGUGGGAUUAGCUAGUAGGUGGGGUCAAGGCUCACCUAGGCGACGAUCCCUAGCUGGGCUGAGAGGAUGACCAGCCACACUGGAACUGAGACACGGUCCAGACUCCUACGGGAGGCAGCAGGGGGGAAUAUUGGACAAUGGGCGCAAGCCUGAGGCAGCCAUGCCGCGUGUAUGAAGAAGGCCGUCGGAUUGUAAAGUACUUUCAGCGGGGAGGCGUUACCCGCAGAAGAAGCACCGGCUAACUCCGUGCCAGCAGCCGCGGUAAUAC